UUGAGCGGGAUCUAUCGGACUUCCACAGCCAAGCCACGCAGCCGGAAAGUUCUUCAGAGAUUGCACUAGAGUAUGUUCCACUAGAGAUAACGACACUACAGGCUGUUUGAAAGACAACACCGACUCAGGUAAUUUUCACACAACACAGUUGAAAACUAGUCAUGGGGUUUAAGUGCAAGCACUGUUUUGUCUCUACAGACACAAUCCCUAGCUGCAUAAAACACGUGAAAGUGCAUAGAAACCGUGCAAAUGUAAAUUUUCCUUGUGGUGUUGCAAAAUGUCCUUGUAACCUUAAGUCAGUGUGCGCAUUACAGAAUCACAUGUACAACAAGCAUGUCUUGCCUUAUAGUUGCAUACUUUCUAACAACGUUUUGUGUUUAUUAUACUGCUGAAGCACAGAUUUCCCUGCCUAGCACUCCGAGGCUAAUCAUGCUUGGAGGCAGCCAAGUCCCUUGAAUUUGUCCAACGCUUUUUUGUCCGGAUAAAUCCAGAACAGAGUAAAUGUGCUGCUAAAUUCCAGACCAGCAAGAGCACGGGAAAGAAGGUUCAACGGAAAAAUCAGUCCCUGAAUCAACAUGUCGCCGCUCUAAUCCAGGACUUCAUUGAAUAUGACUGGCAGAAUACCUAGAGCAUGCCAGUAAAGAAGAUGUCCACUCCACUCAGGCUCCAUUUCCAUACACACACACAUUGAUAGAUGCUGGGGUGGAGUUCUUGUUCUUGUGGUAGGACUUCACUACAACAUAUGGCACAUUCUCUCUCUCUCUCUCUCUCUCUCUCUCUCUCUCUCUCUCUCUCUCUCCAUGUC